rnacentral:rRNA from 1 species
GAUGAACGCUAGCGGGAGGCCUAACACAUGCAAGCCGAGCGGUAGAGAUUCUUCGGAAUCUUGAGAGCGGCGUACGGGUGCGGAACACGUGUGCAACCUGCCUUUAUCAGGGGGAUAGCCUUUCGAAAGGAAGAUUAAUACCCCAUAAUAUAUUUGAUGGCAUCAUUAGAUAUUGAAAGCUUUGGCGGAUAGAGAUGGGCACGCGCAAGAUUAGAUAGUUGGUGAGGUAACGGCUCACCAAGUCGAUGAUCUUUAGGGGGCCUGAGAGGGUGAUCCCCCACACGGGUACUGAGACACGGACCAGACUCCUACGGGAGGCAGCAGUGAGGAAUAUUGGACAAUGGGUUAGCGCCUGAUCCAGCCAUCCCGCGUGAAGGACGACGGCCCUAUGGGUUGUAAACUUCUUUUGGACAGGGAUAAACCUACUCUCGUGAGAGUAGCUGAAGGUACUGUACGAAUAAGCACCGGCUAACUCCGUG